GGUGGCUCAGUGGUAGAGCGCUUGCCUUGUAUGCAGUAGGCCCUGGGUUCAAUUCCUCAGCACCA
rnacentral:tRNA from 1 species